GAUGUGAUGAUGAAUCAUUUAGGUUUUUGAGUGGUGGCAAUUGUCACCGUGAGCCAACAAACCAAAAACGACUUCUCUUUCCACUGAACAUU